GACGAACCGUGCUAACGUUGUUCGGAUUCACUGGGCUUAAAGGGCGCGUAGGCGGCUUGUCAAGUCAGGGGUGAAAUCUUUCGGCUCAACCGGAAAAGUGCUUCUGAUACUGACAGGCUGGAGGGAGGUAGGGGCAGAUGGAACUUCCGGUGGAGCGGUGAAAUGCGUAGAUAUCGGAAGGAACGCCGGUGGCGAAAGCGAUCUGCUGGACCUCUUCUGACGCUGAGGCGCGAAAGCCAGGGGAGCAAACGGG
rnacentral:rRNA from 1 species